UGUAGAAUUUAGUUUUCGUCAAACCACUCAGUAGAAAGUGCCUCUUUUUCCCCUUGUAGGCCUUUUUUGGACUUGUUGUAGUGAAGAUUAGUGGUUGAAGAUGACGAGAAGAGUAGUGUUUUGAGGAGAGGUUUAUUAUAGUUGAGGACAUCUUGAGCCCGCAGAGAGAACAAUUCUUCCUCCUCAUUGCUGAAUGAUCAACAUGGAAUUAAAGGCGAAGUUUCGCUUAGAUGGCCACCUUCUUCAGUGAUUCAUAUGGCUUUUAAUUAGGUGAGAAAAUAGAAGCAGAAAAAGACGAACAUUGGUUACGUUUUGAUCAAACACCGAGAAGUAUAUGGCUAUUGGAGGGUGUCGGACGGCGUCCCGGACGGCACAGUAGGUUUUAACCGACCAUGAUAAAACGAAUACAGCAAAUUCUGAAAGAGUCACCGAAUGGUCGUGGAUCCAGUAAAAGAUUUCCACUCGUUGUGUUGUAUUCCUUAUUUUCUCGAUCGAUACAACCUACAAGUAGAAUUAAUUUUGUACUAAACUCAUUAUGUUUUAGUCAACAUUUGCGAGGGGCUUGGGUUUGUUUUGCAGUUCCACCGAUUUGCCUUUGUUUUAUAUUAGAUUUAAAGCAACUGUACUUUACUUAGUCUAAAAAUUAACAGCCCGCUCUGUACGAAAAUCAUUAUCUUAAAAUAAAGCAAGCCUUUCAUAAAAUGCACACACUAUUCUUGACGCUUAACAAUUAUCAUAACGUAUAUACCUUUACUUUAAUGUAAAUAAACAUCAAUGUUUCUUGCACCCCGAUAAGUAGGCCUAUCCAAAGUCUUUCAGGAAUAUAACUUGAUAAUGUAAACAUAAACCAUGGCUAGUAUGAAGUUGUGAAUUAUCAAAGUAACAAAUAAUCAAAUCGCAUUGAAAAAUUUAAAGUUUAUUUAUACUGGAUAUACAAUAUUCUUGUGAGUAACUCUUAGGGCAGUUUCGAGAUCUGCAGCGAAGAUGAUAGAAAGGAAGUCAACAAUAAUAAUUAGUGUAUGAUUUAUGACAAUAUACUAAACAAGUUAAACAAAUCGUUCCUACGCCUCAUU